rnacentral:rRNA from 1 species
CAGUCGCCACGGUAAUACGUAGGUGGCGAGCGUUGUCCGGAUUUAUUGGGCGUAAAGGGAGUGUAGGCGGUCUUUUACGUCUGAUGUGAAAGCCCACGGCUCAACCGUGGAGGGUCAUUGGAAACUGGGAGACUUGAGUGCAGAAGAGGAGAGCAGAAUUCCAUGUGUAGCGGUGAAAUGCGUAGAUAUAUGGAGGAACACCAGUGGCGAAGGCGGCUCUCUGGUCUGUAACUGACGCUGAGGCUCGAAAGCGUGGGGAGCAAACAGGAUUAGAUACCCGAGUAGUCCCUGUCUCUUAUAC